rnacentral:ncRNA from 1 species
UCUUGUCUCAAAGAUUAAGCCGUGCAAGUCUUAGUACACACAGCCGGUACAGUGAAACGUCAAAAUGGGUCAUUAAAUCAGUUACGGUUCCUUUGAUUGCUCAAACGUUACUUGGAUGACUGCAGCAGUUAUAGAGCUAAUAAAUGUCUACGGGUGCUGACCUUUGGGGAGGCGUGCACUUAUUCAGACCCAUGCAGGGUACUCUCGGGCACCACAAACACUUAUUCAGACCCAUGCAGGGUACUCUCGGGCACCACAAACACUUAUUCAGACCCAUGCAGGGUACUCUCGGGCACAACAAACACUUAUUCAGACCCAUGCAGGGUACUCUCUGGCACAACAAACACUUAUUCAGACCCAUGCAGGGUACUCUCGGGCACAACAAACACUUAUUCAGACCCAUGCAGGGUACUCUCGGGCACCACAAACACUUAUUCAGACCCAUGCAGGGUACUCUCGGGCACCACAAACACUUAUUCAGACCCAUGCAGGGUACUCUCGGGCACAACAAACACUUAUUCAGACCCAUGCAGGGUACUCUCUGGCACAACAAACACUUAUUCAGACCCAUGCAGGGUACUCUCUGGCACAACAAACACUUAUUCAGACCCAUGCAGGGUACUCUCUGGCACAACAAACACUUAUUCAGACCCAUGCAGGGUACUCUCUGGCACAACAAACACUUAUUCAGACCCAUGCAGGGUACUCUCUGGCACAACAAACACUUAUUCAGACCCAUGCAGGGUACUCUCUGGCACAACAAACACUUAUUCAGACCCAUGCAGGGUACUCUCUGGCACAACAAACACUUAUUCAGACCCAUGCAGGGUACUCUCUGGCACAACAAACACUUAUUCAGACCCAUGCAGGGUACUCUCGGGCACCACAAACGCUUUUGGUGACUCUAUAACUUCGACUGGUGACGUCUAAUUUGAAUGUCUGCCCUAUCAACUUUCAAUGGUACUUUCUGUGCCUACCAUGGUGACAGGGAAUCCGGGUUAGAUUCCAGGGAGGGAGCCUAAGAAACAGCUACCACAUCCAGGGAAGGAAACAGGCGGGCAAAUGACCCACUCCGACUCGGGGAGGUAGUGACGAAAAAUAACAAUACAGGACUCGAGGCCCUUCAGUUGGAAUGAGUACAUUUUAAAUUCUUUAAUGAUCCAUUACUUAUGGGUAGA